UUUGUAUUCGAUGACUAGUGAUGUAAAGAAAAGAAUGUAAAGCUUAUUUUGAGGUGAAUGUGAUGUAAAAAGAAAUGAUGCAAUGUGUAAUGAAGUACAAGAAUCGUGAAUGUAAUGAAUGUUUAGUUUUCCUUUCUUUCACUAAUGGCUAUUGCUUACCCUCGUGUAAGCCGUUUGUGUAUGUUUCCGCUAGUGCUUUUCUCUAAUGAUGAAAAUGUACAUGU
rnacentral:lncRNA from 1 species